GACUAACGGCGUAGAAGCGAGCACUCUAGACGAACUGCCGUUGACAAAACGGAGGAAGGUGGGGAUGACGUCAAAUCAUCAUGCCCCUUAUGUUCUGGGCUACACACGUGCUACAAUGGCCGGUACAGACGGACGCAAAGCCGCGAGGUGGAGCAAAUCCUAAAAAGCCGGUCUCAGUUCGGAUUGCAGGCUGCAAUUCGCCUGCAUGAAGUCGGAAUCGCUAGUAAUCGCAGGUCAGCAUACUGCGGUGAAUACGUUCCCGGGCCUU
rnacentral:rRNA from 1 species